rnacentral:rRNA from 1 species
GGAAUCUUCCACAAUGGACGCAAGUCUGAUGGAGCAACGCCGCGUGAGUGAAGAAGGGUUUCGGCUCGUAAAACUCUGUUGUUAAAGAAGAACAUAUCUGAGAGUAACUGUUCAGGUAUUGACGGUAUUUAACCAGAAAGCCACGGCUAACUACGUGCCAA